rnacentral:lncRNA from 1 species
UUUUUUUUUUUUUUUUUUUUUUUUUCCUAAAGGAGAAGCAAGUUGUUACUAUCCAUUUUUCUAUGGUGGAAUGUCAGAGACAGACACCUCGGUGGCUUGUCCCAAGUAACACAAUGACUUGGUAGCAUUCAGAAAGAACUCCCUUCUCAAAUCCUGCUGGUAGAGAGAACCUCGUUUUAUUUUUCUGGAACAAAGCUAAGAAAUACAUACGGUUACUGAGUUGAACAAAAUAGAAUCAUAAAUAAAUUAGUUGCAUUUUGCUGUCCCUGUCUGAGAAAAUGUGAAAAAGCAUUUUCCUUUCUAUCUGAAAGGACAUCUAAAAGGAACCAGACCACAUAAUGACACUGAGACGUCUGUACCUGAAGUAAAAUGAAUCACAGUGGAAAAGGAUGAUGUCUGCCAGGAGGCUUGGGAUAUUGUUUUCAUUAUCCAGUUAUUUUCUAUGUAAAAGCCACUCGUGUCUUAGAAUGGACCUUGUCAUCUGAAAAGCACUUCGUCUUCUUAUACUUGCAAAGAUUUAAGUGGAAAUUGUUGCUUUUGGGAAAGAGCCAUAAGGAGAGAUUUGACUGCCUUUAAAAGCCUUGAUCCAUUUGCCUCCUAAUACCAGUAAGUCCCUCCCCUGCAUGACAGGUUCUGUGCCUUCCAGAAGCUAAUACUAAUCUAAUAAUCCUAGAAACGAUCAGCUCUUCAAAGCAUUGUGUACACAUGUGUGUGUAUUUUGUGCGGUCACAUAGAGGAAUGCUCUUAUGUAACUCUCAGCAGCAACCUUGCAAUGUUUGUAUGAUUUUUCUAAUUUUGCAGAUGAGAAAAUCAAGGCUACCAAGGUUAAGUCUAUCGUUCAAGGUCAAACAGCCACCAAGGGAUGGGAGAUGGAGUAUCAUUUCCACUCAGUUUCUUUGUCCCCACCUCUCAAUUAUUACCACCAUCCUCUGGAUGUUGCUUAAGCCCUUUCAUUAAAAAUACUAGAAAAUUUAAUAAAACUCGAGCCACUAUCCUCAGGGAUUCCUACAGAACUUGGGCAAAUUGAAACAAGAUUCACAAGAUGUGUUCUAUCACUAUUCUUGGUGCUAUCUGGACAUCAGUCAGUGUCAUGUAAACUGGUCUUAUGCAUUUCUGGUUCUAUAAAUUCAAUGAGGAAAUUCAGUGCCUCAUUUUCCUGAGUUUAAUAUGGCAUCCCCAAUGUUUUGAUACCACAGAGUUGUAGAUAUGUUAUUAAUACACAGUAAAAUGACUCUUCCUAUAAAAGAUUCUUUAGAACAUUAGGAGGAAAGUUCAACUGACUCUAUUUGCAACAGUGAUAAACUAAAAAUGAAUCCCUUGGUUAAAAAAAUAGUGAUCUUAAAUAUAACCCUUUGAGAUUUCUUUCUAAGGAACAGCAUUGAAUUUAUUGUUAUUCGUUAUAGGUGAAUUCAUCAUAGGUGUGUUACAGCAGACUUCUUUCCCAGAUGCAUUAUUUAUUUACUGAUAUUGAAAUUCUUUUUUUUUGUUGUUUUUUUUUUUUUUAUUUUCCCACUUUACAGCAAGGGGGUUAGGUUAUCCUUAGAUGUAUACAUUGCAGUUACAGUUUUUUCCCCCACCCUUUCUUCUGUUGCAACAUGAGUAUCUAGACAUAGUUCUCAAUGUUAUUCAGCAGGAUCUCCUUGUAAAUCUAUUCUAGGUUGUGUCUGAUAAGCCCAAGCUCCCGAUCCCUCCCACUCCCUCCCCCUCCCAUCAGGCAACCACAAGUCUCUUCUCCAAGUCCAUGAUUUUCUUUUCUGAGGAGAUGUUCAUUUGUGCUGGAUAUUAGAUUCCAGUUAUAAGUGAUAUCAUAUGGUAUUUGUCUUUGUCUUUCUGGCUCCUUUCACUCAGUAUGAGAUUCUCUAGUUCCAUCCAUGUUGCUGCGAAUGGCAUUAUGUCAUCCUUUUUUAUGGCUGAGUAGUAUUCCAUUGUGUAUAUAUACCAAAUCUUCCGAAUCCAAUCAUCUGUCGAUGGACAUUUGGAUUGUUUCCAUGUCCUGGCUAUUGUGAAUAGUGCUGCAAUGAACAUGCGGGUGCAUGUGUCUCUUUUAAGUACAGCUUUGUCCGGAUAGAUGCCCAAGAGUGGGAUUGCAGGGUCAUAUGGAAGUUCUAUGUAUAGAUUUCUAAGGUAUCUCCACACUGUUCUCCAUAGUGGCUGUACCAGUUUACAUUCCCACCAGCAGUGCAGAAGGGGUCCCUUUUCUCCACAGCCCCUCCAGCACUUGUUAUUUGUGGAUUUAUGAAUGAUGGCCAUUCUGACUGGUGUGAGGUGGUAUCUCAUGGUAGUUUUGAUUUGCAUUUCUCUUAUAAUCAGCGAUGUUGAGCAUUUUUUCAUGUGUUUGUUGGCCAUUUGUAUAUCUUCUUUGGAGAAAUGUCUAUUCAGGUCUUUUGCCCAUUUUUCCAUUGAUUGAUUGGUUUUUUCGCUGUUGAGUUGUAUAAGUUGCUUAUAUAUUGUAGAGAUUAAGCCCUUGUCAGUUGCAUCAUUUGAAACUAUUUUCUCCCAUUCUGAAAGUUGUCUUUUUGUUUUCUUUUUGGUUUCCUUUGCUGUGCAAAAGCUUUUCAGUUUGAUGAGGUCCCAUUAAAAAAAAAAAAAAAUCUUGGGAAUUCCCAUUAUGGCUCAGUGGUAAAGAAGCCAAUUAGAAUCUAUGAGGAUGCAGGUUCAAUCCCUGGCCCAACUCAGUGGGUUAAGAAUCUGGUGUUGCAGUGAGCUGUGGUGUAAGUCCCAGAUGCAGCUGGGAUCUGGCUUUGCUGUGGCUGUGGGGUUGGCCUGUAGCUGCAGCUCCAAUUCAGCCCCUGGCCUGGGAACUUCCAUAUGCCGAGGGUGUGGUCCUUAAAAAAAAGAAAAGAAAAGAGGAGUUCCUGUCAUGGCUCAGUGGUCAAUGAAUCUGACUAGGAACCAUGAGGUUGCAGGUUCAAUCCCUGGGCUCACUCAGUGGAUUAAGGAUCCGGCAUUGCCAUGAGCUAUGGUGUAGUUUGCAGACAUGGCUCAGAUCUGGUGUUGCUGUGGCUGUGGCAAAGGCCAGAGGCUAUAGAUCAAUUAGACCCCUAGCCUGGGAAUGAAGGCCCUAGAAAAG